rnacentral:tRNA from 1 species
UAAAAGUACGGUAAUGGCUAACCGGCUAGGCUCAUGCCCUAGAGAUACAAGUUCAAGUCUUGUCUUUUACA